AACGAACGCUGGCGGCAUGCCUAACACAUGCAAGUCGAACGAGACCUUCGGGUCUAGUGGCGCACGGGUGCGCAACACGUGGGAAACUGCCCUUUGCAUCGGCAUCACAGAUAGAAAUGACUGCUAAUACCGGAUGAUGUCGAAAGACCAAAGGUUUAUCGGCCAAGGAUGAGCCCGCGUAGGAUUAGGUAGUUGGUGGGGUAAAGGCCUACCAAGCCGACGAUCCUUAGCUGGUCUGAGAGGAUGAUCAGCCACACUGGGACUGAGACACGGCCCAGACUCCUACGGGAGGCAGCAGUGGGGAAUAUUGGACGCUGGGCGAAAGCCUGAUCCAGCAAUGCCGCGUGAGUGAUGAAGGCCUUAGUGUUGUAAAGCUCUUUUACCAGGGAUGAUAAUGACAGUACCUGGAGAAUAAGCUCCGGCUAACUCCGUG
rnacentral:rRNA from 1 species